UGCAAUGAGUCUCCUAAGUGGUGCCUGUCG
rnacentral:piRNA from 1 species